rnacentral:rRNA from 1 species
UGGGUAACCUGCCUCAAAGAGGGGAAUAGCCCUCCCCGGAAAAGGGGAGAUCAAUACCGCAUAAUAUGUUUAAGUCGCAUGACUUUAACAUCAAAAGGUAUUUUUCUUUUUAAGAAAUUCCACUUUGAGAUGGACCCCGCGGCGCAUUAGCUAGUUGGUGAGGUAACGGCUCACCAAGGCAACGAUGCGUAGCCGACCUGAGAGGGUGAUCGGCCACAUUGGAACUGAGACAUGGUCCAGAUCCCGUAACGGGG